rnacentral:rRNA from 1 species
GAUCCUGGCUUAGGAUGAACGCUGGCGGCGUGCUUAACACAUGCAAGUCGAACGGAGUUUUUAAACCGAAGUUUCGGAUGGAAGUUUAGAAACUUAGUGGCGGACGGGUGAGUAACGCGUGGGUAACCUGCCUCAUACAGGGGGAUAACAGUUAGAAAUGACUGCUAACACCGCAUAAUAUAGCGAAACCGCAUGAUUUUGCUAUCAAAUAUUUAUAGGUAUGAGAUGGGCCCGCGUCUGAUUAGCUAGUUGGUGGGGUAAAAGCCUACCAAGGCGACGAUCAGUAGCCGGCUUGAGAGAGUGACCGGCCACAUUGGGACUGAGACACGGCCCAAACUCCUACGGGAGGCAGCAGUGGGGAAUAUUGGACAAUGGGGGAAACCCUGAUCCAGCGAACCGCCGCGUGAGUGAAGAAGUAUUUCGGUAUGUAAAGCUCUAUCAGCAGGGAAGAUAAUGACAGUACCUGACUAAGAAGCCCCGGCUAACUACGUGCCAGCAGCGGC